rnacentral:ncRNA from 1 species
CGAGGAAGGGCGUAGCAAGCGACGAAAUGCUUCGGGGAGUUGAAAAUAAGCAUAGAUCCGGAGAUUCCCAAAAAGGUCAACCUUUUAAACUGCUUACAGACCACAUCAAAGAAUCCUGGUUG